GAGGGUAUAGCUCAAGUGGUAGAGUGCAUGCCUAGCAUGCCUGAAGUCCUGGGUUCAAUCCCCAGUACCUCCA
rnacentral:tRNA from 1 species